UGCUAAUCUGCGAUAAGCGUCGGUGAGGUGAUAUGAACCGUUAUAACCGGCGAUUUCCGAAUGGGGAAACCCAGUGUGUUUCGACACACUAUCAUUAACUGAAUCCAUAGGUUAAUGAGGCGAACCGGGGGAACUGAAACAUCUAAGUACCCCGAGGAAAAGAAAUCAACCGAGAUUCCCCCAGUAGCGGCGAGCGAACGGGGAGGAGCCCAGAGCCUGAAUCAGUGUGUGUGUUAGUGGAAGCGUCUGGAAAGGCGCGCGAUACAGGGUGACAGCCCCGUACACAAAAAUGCACAUAUUGUGAGCUCGAUGAGUAGGGCGGGACACGUGGUAUCCUGUCUGAAUAUGGGGGGACCAUCCUCCAAGGCUAAAUACUCCUGACUGACCGAUAGUGAACCAGUACCGUGAGGGAAAGGCGAAAAGAACCCCGGCGAGGGGAGUGAAAAAGAACCUGAAACCGUGUACGUACAAGCAGUGGGAGCCUCUUUAUGGGGUGACUGCGUACCUUUUGUAUAAUGGGUCAGCGACUUAUAUUCUGUAGCAAGGUUAACCGAAUAGGGGAGCCGAAGGGAAACCGAGUCUUAACUGGGCGUUAAGUUGCAGGGUAUAGACCCGAAACCCGGUGAUCUAGCCAUGGGCAGGUUGAAGGUUGGGUAACACUAACUGGAGGACCGAACCGACUAAUGUUGAAAAAUUAGCGGAUGACUUGUGGCUGGGGGUGAAAGGCCAAUCAAACCGGGAGAUAGCUGGUUCUCCCCGAAAGCUAUUUAGGUAGCGCCUCGUGAAUUCAUCUCCGGGGGUAGAGCACUGUUUCGGCAAGGGGGUCAUCCCGACUUACCAACCCGAUGCAAACUGCGAAUACCGGAGAAUGUUAUCACGGGAGACACACGGCGGGUGCUAACGUCCGUCGUGAAGAGGGAAACAACCCAGACCGCCAGCUAAGGUCCCAAAGUCAUGGUUAAGUGGGAAACGAUGUGGGAAGGCCCAGACAGCCAGGAUGUUGGCUUAGAAGCAGCCAUCAUUUAAAGAAAGCGUAAUAGCUCACUGGUCGAGUCGGCCUGCGCGGAAGAUGUAACGGGGCUAAACCAUGCACCGAAGCUGCGGCAGCGACACUAUGUGUUGUUGGGUAGGGGAGCGUUCUGUAAGCCUGUGAAGGUGGCCUGUGAGGGUUGCUGGAGGUAUCAGAAGUGCGAAUGCUGACAUAAGUAACGAUAAAGCGGGUGAAAAGCCCGCUCGCCGGAAGACCAAGGGUUCCUGUCCAACGUUAAUCGGGGCAGGGUGAGUCGACCCCUAAGGCGAGGCCGAAAGGCGUAGUCGAUGGGAAACAGGUUAAUAUUCCUGUACUUGGUGUUACUGCGAAGGGGGGACGGAGAAGGCUAUGUUGGCCGGGCGACGGUUGUCCCGGUUUAAGCGUGUAGGCUGGUUUUCCAGGCAAAUCCGGAAAACCAAGGCUGAGGCGUGAUGACGAGGCACUACGGUGCUGAAGCGACAAAUGCCCUGCUUCCAGGAAAAGCCUCUAAGCAUCAGGUAACAUCAAAUCGUACCCCAAACCGACACAGGUGGUCAGGUAGAGAAUACCAAGGCGCUUGAGAGAACUCGGGUGAAGGAACUAGGCAAAAUGGUGCCGUAACUUCGGGAGAAGGCACGCUGAUAUGUAGGUGAAGCGACUUGCUCGUGGAGCUGAAAUCAGUCGAAGAUACCAGCUGGCUGCAACUGUUUAUUAAAAACACAGCACUGUGCAAACACGAAAGUGGACGUAUACGGUGUGACGCCUGCCCGGUGCCGGAAGGUUAAUUGAUGGGGUUAGCGGUAACGCGAAGCUCUUGAUCGAAGCCCCGGUAAACGGCGGCCGUAACUAUAACGGUCCUAAGGUAGCGAAAUUCCUUGUCGGGUAAGUUCCGACCUGCACGAAUGGCGUAAUGAUGGCCAGGCUGUCUCCACCCGAGACUCAGUGAAAUUGAACUCGCUGUGAAGAUGCAGUGUACCCGCGGCAAGACGGAAAGACCCCGUGAACCUUUACUAUAGCUUGACACUGAACAUUGAGCCUUGAUGUGUAGGAUAGGUGGGAGGCUUUGAAGUGUGGACGCCAGUCUGCAUGGAGCCGACCUUGAAAUACCACCCUUUAAUGUUUGAUGUUCUAACGUUGGCCCGUAAUCCGGGUUGCGGACAGUGUCUGGU
rnacentral:rRNA from 1 species